rnacentral:rRNA from 1 species
UGGGGAAUAUUGCACAAUGGGCGCAAGCCUGAUGCAGCCAUGCCGCGUGUAUGAAGAAGGCCUUCGGGUUGUAAAGUACUUUCAGUCGGGAGGAAGGUGGUAAGGUUAAUAACCUUAUCAAUUGACGUUACCGACAGAAGAAGCACCGGCUAACUCCGUGCCAGCAGCCGCGGUAAUACGGAGGGUGCAAGCGUUAAUCGGAAUUACUGGGCGUAAAGCGCACGCAGGCGGUUGAUUGAGUCAGAUGUGAAAUCCCCGGGCUUAACCCGGGAAUUGCAUCUGAUACUGGUCAGCUAGAGUCUUGUAGAGGGGGGUAGAAUUCCCUGUGUAGCGGUGAAAUGCGUAGAGAUGUGGAGGAAUACCGGUGGCGAAGGCGGCCCCCUGGACGAAGACUGACGCUCAGGUGCGAAAGCGUGGGGAGCAAACAGG